UGGGGAAUCUUCCACAAUGGACGAAAGUCUGAUGGAGCAACGCCGCGUGAGUGAAGAAGGUCUUCGGAUCGUAAAGCUCUGUUGUCGGGGACGAAUGUAGAGGCUAUGAAUAAGAGCCACUAAUGACGGUACCUGACGAGGAAGCCACGGCUAACUACGUGCCAGCAGCCGCGGUAAUACGUAGGCGGCGAGCGUUGUCCGGAAUUAUUGGGCGUAAAGGGAGCGCAGGUGGGAAUGUAAGUCUUUCUUAAAAGUGCGGGGCUCAACCCCGUGAUGGGAAAGAAACUAUAUUUCUUGAGUGCAGGAGAGGAAAGCGGAAUUCCUAGUGUAGCGGUGAAAUGCGUAGAUAUUAGGAGGAACACCAGUGGCGAAGGCGGCUUUCUGGACUGUAACUGACACU
rnacentral:rRNA from 1 species